CGAACGGGUGAGUAACGCGUGAGGAACCUGCCUCGAAAGAGGGGGACGAAAGUUGGAAACGACUGCUAAUACCGCAUAAGCCCACGGCUCGGCAUCGAGCAGAGGGAAAAGGAGCAAUCCGCUUUGAGAUGGCCUCGCGUCCGGUUAGCUAGUUGGUGAGGUAAUGGCCCACCAAGGCGACGAUCGGUAGCCGGACUGAGAGGUUGAACGGCCACAUUGGGACUGAGACACGGCCCAG
rnacentral:rRNA from 1 species